rnacentral:lncRNA from 12 species
UUAUAAAGUCACCAUAAUUUUUUCAGUGACAGUGAAAGCUCUCAAGGUGGAUGAACUCAUGGAGAGUGUUACACGAUGGGAAGAAAUAAAUACCCACAAUGAUAUUCAUGAGAAAGCUACCACUGUACUCUGGGAGAAAGAACAAAAAGCAAUGAAGGAAGAAGAGGCCACAGUAAAGAUUUGCUGACUGGGUGAAUGAUGUGAACGAACCAUGGCAACCAAAGAAUACUCAGUCUGGAUUAACUAAUGGCUACAAGAGUGCCAGAAGAUUUGGAAUUUGUAUAACCCCAAACUGUGUUUUCCUAAGUAAUCUUGGCAAGCUUAAAACCCUGGAAAGUCACAAUUCACUUCCCAGGCGAUCCUCCUGGACAGCUCAGCAGCAGAAAAGCAGAACAGGAUAUCCAGCUAUUGAACAGGGCCGCCGGCCCAGGUGGCCAGCUGUGCAGCUGCAGAGAGCGUCCUACCAGGAGGGCAGCGUGGCCGCAGGAAGACACGUUUCUUUCCUCUGUUUUCUGCUAGAGAGGAAAGCACAGUCUGCACUCCCCAAACACUGCCUGUCGACACAGCACUUUUCAACAACGGUGAAAGGACAUUGUCUCUAACAAUAAGUGUCAGAAGAGGAACAAAUCAUUUAUGAGGUUCAGGAGGCCUCAACCCAAGCAGAUAGUUGACUGUGGAAAAACAACUUCAGUUUUAUUAUUGUACUGAAUGAGGCAAAAUAUCAUAGAUGUGAGGCCAUUUAAGACCAAUUGUUUGGAACUAUGAGUUAGGAGGCUGGGGUUAAGUAUGGGUUCUCCGACCUUGUGUUAAGAAUGCUAUGAUAAGGAUUAUUAUUAAAGACAAAGUCCUCCUCCUGAUACUAUUCUAUUUUUGUGUUUUUUUCCUUUUCUUUUUAAGAAUGAAUGAUUUUUACUCAAGGUAAGAAAUCCUCAGAACAUUCCUCCUGUAAAAUCUGUUCAUACUUAGGAAAUAAGUUUUUCCCUGUUUCAUGACAUGAUUGACAUGUAGUACUGUGUGAAUUCCAGGUACACAGCAUAAUGACUUGACAUGCAAAUGUUGUGAAAUAACAUGGUGAAUUUAGUUAAUUCUCAUUAUCUCAUAUAGGUACAAAAAAGGUUUUGUGGGUUUUUUUUUUCCUUGUGGAAAUAAUUCUUAAGUAGAAAGGAAAGACAGGAAGAGUGAAACAAAAAUAUAUAUUUCCAGAAUUGACAAAGUGAACUGACACUUACUAUAAAUCAAUGACAAGAGAUAUUUUAAAAAAUCUCUACUAAUUAUUUUUAGAGAGGAAAAAAGUACAGACUUUGGGGGGAUAAAAUUGAUUACAUUCUUCAAAUCUAAAACUUUUCUUCUAGUUCAUAAAAGAAAAUUUUGGAAAUGAAUGUUUCGCACGUAAUCGUAUUUCAAAUUAGUAGGGUAGUGUAUAUACCCAUGUAUUCCUAUUCUUGACACUCAGUAAAUGUUAUAUAUCCAAUAUAUAGAUGAUACAAACAGAUAAGAGAAUAGAGAAAUAGAUGUUAGGUCUUGACAGCUGAGUGAGGGAUCAGAGACCCUCGCUCAGGGUUUAGCUGUCAUUUUGUGCGUAUGUAAAUUUAAAAACCUGAACACUAAAAUUUCAUUAUUCUGUUAUCCCUAAAAGCAUACUGAUUAAAAUCUGAAUUACUGUCAAAAAGUACUCUGAGGCUAUCAAACCAAACAGCUUACAAUUGCAGUAUAUAAUCAAGAUUUCCCAUAGAAGGGUAGGAUUAAUAAUGGUGCAAAGACACUUUCUCAUUGACUUAAAUAACUAGUAGCAUUAUUGCUUUCCUAAAGUUAACAAAAACUCAUUUUGGAUAUAUCAAAUUAUUUUUAAUUUACAAUGAAAUUAUUAUUAAUUGUUUAAAUAAAUUCAUCCACUGUUGGUGAACA